rnacentral:rRNA from 1 species
UACGUAGGGUGCAAGCGUUAAUCGGAAUUACUGGGCGUAAAGCGUGCGCAGGCGGUUUCGUAAGUCUGAUGUGAAAUCCCCGGGCUUAACCUGGGAAUUGCAUUGGAGACUGCGAGGCUAGAAUCUGGCAGAGGGGGGUAGAAUUCCACGUGUAGCAGUGAAAUGCGUAGAGAUGUGGAGGAACACCGAUGGCGAAGGCAGCCCCCUGGGUCAAGAUUGACGCUCAUGCA